rnacentral:lncRNA from 1 species
UUUCUUCUUCUCUUCUUCUUGUCUCAAAGCCUUGGCCCUUCUUUUUCACCGCCGUCGGUGUCUCCUGGGUGCGGUGGUUGGACGGUCGCCGGCGUUCUCCUUUCCCUCCUCUCUUCUUCUUCUUUCUUCACUUCUUUCUACUUUACUUUUUUUUUUGCUUGCUUGCUGCUAUUUUCCUUUCUUUUGUUUAUGCUUGCACAUUUCUUAGCUUGACUUCGGCGAGGAGCAACGAUGAUCGUUGCACGGCGAUCGUGGUGGCGUGGGUACGGUGGCGGUGAGCGUGGGAUCGGCCCAUGGGAGUAUUUUUUGCUGCUGGAAUUUUCUGCUAUUUUUUUUGCUUUGGUUGCCGAAAAUCCUCCUCCCUUCUCUUCAAUUUUUUCUUUUUAAAAGCUCCAAAUUUUGUCCUCUUUCUCACUGUUUGCAGGUGGCAGAGGAGCCAUGAUGGCCUAGGGGGGGCUGCUGGAGUAGCUCGGCUGGGAGGGGUACGCUCGGCUGGUGCAGCGGCGAUUAGACAAGUCCAGAAGGACUAAAUUGCAUAGGAUGCAAAGCUUCUGGGGCAAAAGUGUAAUUUUAGCAAAAAUAUGGGCCAAAAUGUAAUUUAUUGAGAGUUUAGGGGUCAAAGUGAAAUUUUGAGAAAGUAUAAGGGUCGAAAUGUAAUUUUAUAAAGUUUUGGGGUUAAAAUGUAAAUUUUAGAAAAGUUUGGGGUCAAAUUGUAAAUUUUGAGAAGUAUAGGGGUUAAAAUGCAAAAAAGUAAUAAAAUUUCUUUUUUUUUUUUCAAGCACGAAAUUAAUCCCGGACAAAAUUCAGUGAUUACAGUCCAUUCACCAACUAUUAGAGGUCUUUUUACCCCUGUCCAUAGGACCUGCUAAGAUAGUCAACAAUUAUUAGUACAAUAAAUAUUUGAUACUAAUAAAUUAUUUUAAUUUAAUUUUACACCAAUUUUAUUUUUUUCUACUGUAUUUUCAUAGUAAUUGUUUUCUAC